rnacentral:rRNA from 1 species
GGAAUCUUCCACAAUGGGCGAAAGCCUGAUGGAGCAAUGCCGCGUGAGUGAAGAAGGUUUUCGGAUCGUAAAACUCUGUUGUUGAAGAAGAACAUGCGUGAGAGUAACUGUUCACGUACUGACGGUAUUCAACCAGAAAGCCACGGCUAACUACGUGCCAG